rnacentral:rRNA from 1 species
GACGAACGCUGGCGGCGUGCUUAACACAUGCAAGUCGAACGGAAAGGCCCUGCUUUUGUGGGGUGCUCGAGUGGCGAACGGGUGAGUAACACGUGAGUAACCUGCCCUUGACUUUGGGAUAACUUCAGGAAACUGGGGCUAAUACCGGAUAGGAGCUCCUGCUGCAUGGUGGGGGUCGGAAAGUUUCGGCGGUUGGGGAUGGACUCGCGGCUAAUCAGCUUGUUGGGGGGGUAGUGGCUUACCAAGGCUUUGACGGGUAGCCGGCCUGAGAGGGUGACCGGCCACAAGGGGACUGAGAUACGGCCCAGACGCCUACGGGAGGCAGCAGUGGAAAAUAUUGCACAGUGGGCGGAAGCCUGAUGCAGCAACGCCGCGUGCGGGAUGACGGCCUUCGGGUUGUAAACCGCUUUCGCCUGAGACGAAGCGUGAGUGACGGUAAUGGGUAAAGAAGCACCGGCUAACUACGUG